AUUACAGUCAGUGCAGUAUCUCAUAUGUUCUGGCUUUUCACAAAGUCUUGGAUUCUUCUUUUUCCUUUAAUUGAUCAUUAUGCAAGUGUGAUUUGCUUUAUUGGUGCCCUUUGAUGAGCAAAGGCUUAGUUGUUGUUAUUUAUUAUCCUCCUUUUCUUCAUAAGCUUUUGUCAUUGAAUCGUUUUCUCCUUUGCCCUUCAGCUACCAAAUGGGAAAAUAACAAUUUCAGCACUGGAAUGUGAUACCAAAAGCAUAAUGCUUUUGUUUGCUUUAUUCUCUCUGUGAUUUCUUUUGCUCUUGAUUUUGGUGUGUGAUUAAUUUUUCUAAUUGUUCUCAACGUUUCUUUAGAAGUUUGGAUGUGAAUAACAGAGGGGUAUUAAAGAAUGAGUUUUAACUUUUCUCAGAAGAAAAGUUGAAAGAAUGACCAUUGGAAAAG
rnacentral:misc_RNA from 1 species